rnacentral:tRNA from 1 species
GCUGACUUAGCUCAAUUGGUAGAGCAACUGAUUUGUAAUCAGUAGGUUGCGGGUUCGAGUCCCAUAGUCAGCA